rnacentral:rRNA from 1 species
GACGUAGGGUGCGAGCGUUGUCCGGAUUUAUUGGGCGUAAAGAGCUCGUAGGCGGCUUGUCGCGUCUGCUGUGAAAACCCGAGGCUCAACCUCGGGCCUGCAGUGGGUACGGGCAGACUAGAGUGCGGUAGGGGAGAUUGGAAUUCCUGGUGUAGCGGUGGAAUGCGCAGAUAUCAGGAGGAACACCAAUGGCGAAGGCAGAUCUCUGGGCCGUAACUGACGCUGAGGAGCGAAAGCAUGGGGAGCGAACAGG